rnacentral:rRNA from 1 species
UACGAAGGGGGCUAGCGUUGUUCGGAAUUACUGGGCGUAAAGCGCACGUAGGCGGAUAUUUAAGUCAGGGGUGAAAUCCCGGGGCUCAACCCCGGAACUGCCUUUGAUACUGGGUAUCUAGAGUCCGGAAGAGGUGAGUGGAAUUCCGAGUGUAGAGGUGAAAUUCGUAGAUAUUGGGAAGAACACCGGUGGCGAAGGCGGCUAUCUGGCCCAUAAUUGACGCUGAGGCGCGAAAGCGUGGGGAGCAAACAGG